rnacentral:rRNA from 1 species
CCUACGUGUGGCAGCAGUGGGGAAUAUUGCACAAUGGGGGAAACCCUGAUGCAGCGACGCCGCGUGAGUGAAGAAGUAAUUCGGUAUGUAAAGCCCUAUCAGCAGGGAAGAAAAUGACGGUACCUGAGUAAGAAGCGCCGGCUAACUACGUGCCAGCAGCCGCGGUAAUACGUAGGGGGCAAGCGUUAUCCGGAUUUACUGGGUGUAAAGGGAGCGUAGAUGGGGGUGCAAGGCUGGAGUGAAAGGCGGGGGCGCAACCCCCGGACUGCACUGGAAACUGUACGGCUGGAGUGCAGGAGAGGUAAGUGGAAUUCCUAGUGUAGCGGUGAAAUGCGUAGAUAUUAGGAGGAACACCAGUGGCGAAGGCGGCUUACUGGACUGUAACUGACGUUGAGGCUCGAAAGCGUGGGGAGCAAACAGGAUUAGAUACCCUUGUAGUC